UACGGGGGGGUGCGAGCGUUGUCCGGAAUCACUGGGCGUAAAGGGCGCGUAGGCGGUCUGCUAAGCGUGUGGUGAAAGCUCGGGGCUCAACCCCGAGUCGGCCGUGCGAACUGGUGGACUGGAGCAUGUCAGAGGCAGGCGGAAUUCCGGGUGUAGCGGUGGAAUGCGUAGAGAUCCGGAAGAACACCGGUGGCGAAGGCGGCCUGCUGGGACAUUGCUGACGCUGAGGCGCGACAGCGUGGGGAGCAAACAGG
rnacentral:rRNA from 1 species